CAGAAGUUUUGGUAUGUGAGGUAAUCUUGCUGAGAGUGAAGGCAGUUCAUGUGACCGCUUGAUAUGAGAGACACAUCCUGCUUUUAAAGGUAAACUUUAUACUGUAAGCUUCAUUCCCUUUAAAGCAGAGUUUUUAUAUGUGAGGUAAUCUUGCUGGGAGUGAAGGCAGUGCGUAUGACCGCUUGAUAUGAGAGACACAUCCUGUUUUUAAAGGUGGAUCGUGAGUGAAGCUCUGCAUGUCCGCCAUUGGCUUGAUAACAGUGGUUUAUAACAGCAUUCACCUAUAUACUGACAAACAGACCCAAAUCUUGUUCGGCCUGAUGCUCAACCUUGUAUGAUGAUGACCACUGCAAAGUGAUGGGAAUCUGUGAUUAUCACAGCCUGCGUCUCAAGAUCAACAUGACAAUAGUUGACCAUCUCUUAUCUUACUCUUAUCUGACUAAAUGUUCAACGUCACUGCCACACAACAAAGAACAUUGGAUGGAGUAUUGGAGUAUGCACAAUGAUCCAGCAAACAAAAUAAUAUGGACUUUUUUUGGCGAGAUUCUACAGUACAAACAUUGAUACAAUCCUAUUGACUUUUAUUUUUACAGUUAGUAAUGUAUAUUCAUUGUAUUCAUUUGUAUUCUAUGCCGUCUAU